GAUGAACGCUGGCGGCGUGCCUAAUACAUGCAAGUCGAGCGAACAGACGAGGAGCUUGCUCCUCUGACGUUAGCGGCGGACGGGUGAGUAACACGUGGAUAACCUACCUAUAAGACUGGGAUAACUUCGGGAAACCGGAGCUAAUACCGGAUAAUAUAUUGAACCGCAUGGUUCAAUAGUGAAAGACGGUUUUGCUGUCACUUAUAGAUGGAUCCGCGCCGCAUUAGCUAGUUGGUAAGGUAACGGCUUACCAAGGCAACGAUGCGUAGCCGACCUGAGAGGGGGGUCGGCCACACUGGAGCUGAGACACGGACCAGACUCCUACGGGAGGGAGCAGUAGGGAAUCUUCCGCAAUGGGCGAAAGCCUGACAGAGCAACGCCGCGUGAGUGAUGAAGGUCUUCGGAUCGUAAAACUCUGUUAUUAGGGAAGAACAAAUGUGGAAGUAACUAUGCACGUCUUGACGGUACCUAAUCAGAAAGCCACGGCUAACUACGUG
rnacentral:rRNA from 1 species